rnacentral:rRNA from 1 species
UACAGAGGGUGCAAGCGUUAAUCGGAAUUACUGGGCGUAAAGCGCGCGUAGUCGGUUAUUUAAGUCGGGUGUGAAAGCCCCGGGCUCAACCUGGGAAUUGCAUUCGAUACUGGAUAGCUAGAGUUCGGCAGAGGGAAGCGGAAUUUCCGGUGUAGCGGUGAAAUGCUUAGAUAUGACAUAGAACACCCAUUGCGAAGGCAGCUUACUACGGAUAUAUUGACACUGAGGCACGAAAGCGUGGGGAUCAAACAGG